rnacentral:antisense_RNA from 1 species
UCAAAUGUGGGAGCUGGCUUGCCUGCGAUAGCGUCGGUGAAUUCAACACCGCCAUCCCAGGCAAGCCAGCUCCCACAUUUUU